AUUGAAUGGCUCGGUGAGGCCUUCGGACUGGCCCAGGGAGGUCGGCAACGACCACCCAGGGCCGGAAAGUUGGUCAAACCCGGUCAUUUAGAGGAAGUAAAAGUCGUAACAAGGUCUCCGUAGGUGAACCUGCGGAGGGAUCAUU
rnacentral:rRNA from 4 species